AUUGAACGCUGGCGGCAGGCCUAACACAUGCACGUCGAACGAGUCGCGGACGGGUGAGUAAUGUCUGGGAAACUGCCUGAUCGAGGGGGAUACCUUCUGGAAACGGUACCUAAUACCGCAUACCAUCAGAUGUCCCCAGAGGGGCGUAGCUUGUUGGUGGGGUAGCGGCUCACCAAGGCGACGAUCCCUAGCUGGUCUGAGAGGAUGACCAGUCACACUGGAACGGAGAGACGUGCCAGACUCCGACGGGAGGAAGCAGUGGGCAAGAUUGCACAAUGGGCGAAAGCGUGAUGCGGACAAGCCGGGUGUAUGGAAGGUGCCUUCGGGGUGUAAAGUACAUUCAGCGGGGAGGGGUUACCCGCAGAAGAAGCACCGGCUGACUCCGUGCCAGCAGCCGCGGUAAUUC
rnacentral:rRNA from 1 species